AUUCUUUUUUGCCUGCCAAUCUGAAUUUGGAAAGGAAGGGACAAAGUAGAAUUUUACCUCCCUCUCUCACCAGACACCGCAGAUGGAGAUCUGGGAAAGCUGAUUUUGGUCGGACCUGGCCCGGAAGAAGGAACUCUCAGAUGAAGUCUGAAAGCUCCUAAUGCAAAAGCUGCGGAUCCAUCAGGAGCCUCCCAGCGUGUCCAGAGGCAGCAGGAAAACGGCGGAGCUCUCGGGACUCACAGAAACUCCCCACUGGACCUGGGUUAUCUAAAUACAAGUUAUUUAUUUGAUUGGCAUUUGCUCUUGUCAGUUUCGCAAACUGUAAGUAAUGAGGGCGGCUAAUGUUAGAGCAUUCGCGGUACUGUGUUUCUAAGUUGAAUCCAUUUUCGCAUUAAUCUGGGAACACUUGAGCAUUACUCCCUGAUUGUAUGUUCUGGAUGAAAUUAGAGUAUCUUUCAUUGUACAGAUUAAGGUGUUAUUAUUCUAUAAAUGAGGAAAGAAAGUAUUCUUCCUUCCUGAAAUAUUUUUUUUUCCG